CCUACGGGAGGCAGCAGUGGGGAAUUGUUCGCAAUGGGCGAAAGCCUGACGACGCAACGCCGCGUGGAGGAUGAAGAAUUUCGGUUCGUAAACUCCUUUCGACCGAGAUGCAGUAUCGAGAGAAGAAGCCCCGGCUAACUCUGUGCCAGCAGCCGCGGUAAUACGGGGGCAAGCGUUGUUCGGAAUUACUGGGCGUAAAGGGUUUGUAGGUGGCCACUUAAGUCAGACGUGAAAUCCCUCAGCUUAACUGGGGAACUGCGUCUGAUACUGAGUGGCUUGAGUGCAGGAGAGGAACGCGGAAUUCCAGGUGUAGCGGUGAAAUGCGUAGAUAUCUGGAGGAACACGGUGGCGAAGGCGGCGUUCUGGACUGUACUGACACUGAAAAACGAAAGCCAGGGGAGCAAACGGGAUUAGAUACCCUUGUAGUC
rnacentral:rRNA from 1 species